GCACGAACUUUGCGAAAGAGACUGAGUACCAAAAGCCGAAGAACACUGAUCUGUAUCCUAAAACCUAAAACCUAAAACUGGAGCGAGAAACGAGGAAAAUGUUAUCACCGAAGCCGAAAGACAGAGGUUUCGUCCAGUUUUAUUUGCCGAAAGAUUAAAGAGUACCACUGCCGUACGCAAGUUCGUUCAUUUCAAUUUCACACAAGUUUUAGUACCAUUCAUUUAAUUAUACAAUGUAUUUGCGUUCUAACAAGUAAAAUAUCGUGAUAUAGAAUAUUUCAAAUCAGCAAAUUUACAACUAACGAACAUUGGGCCAUUCCAUUUAAUAUCUACACCCCCUGUCGACGACGUCUUCCAAUUUCACACCCCUAAGAAGCAUGUUUUUAUAAGUCCCCCUCGGAAAUUCGUCAGAAUUUUGAAAGCCCUUCAGAAAUUUGAUGUUUUCUUCUAUAUUCUUAAGGAAACUAAGUG